rnacentral:rRNA from 1 species
GACGAACGCUGGCGGCGUGCUUAACACAUGCCAGUCGAACGGAAAGGCCCUGCUUGCAGGGUACUCGAGUGGCGAACGGGUGAGUAACACGUGGGUGAUCUGCCCUGCACUUCGGGAUAAGCCUGGGAAACUGGGUCUAAUACCGGAUAGGAGCCAUUUUUAGUGUGAUGGUUGGAAAGUUUUUUCGGUGUAGGAUGAGCUCGCGGCCUAUCAGCUUGUUGGUGGGGUAAUGGCCUACCAAGGCGGCGACGGGUAGCCGGCCUGAGAGGGUGGACGGCCACAUUGGGACUGAGAUACGGCCCAGACUCCUACGGGAGGCAGCAGUGGGGAAUAUUGCACAAUGGGCGCAAACCUGAUGCAGCGACGCCGCGUGGGGGAUGACGGCCUUCGGGUUGUAAACUCCUUUCGCUAGGGACGAAGCUUUUUGUGACGGUACCUAGAUAAGAAGCACCGGCUAACUACGUG